CUCAGGUUUGUUUUUCAUCCCUA
rnacentral:siRNA from 1 species